GAUGAACGCUGGCGGCGUGCUUAACACAUGCAAGUCGAACGAGAAGUGAAGACGGAAACCUUCGGGCGGAAGGCUUUAUUUCGAGUGGCGGACGGGUGAGUAACGCGUGGGUAACCUGCCUCAUACAGGGGGAUAACAGUUGGAAACGACUGUUAAUACCGCAUAAGACCACAGCACCGCAUGGUGCGGGGGUAAAAACUCCGGUGGUAUGAGAUGGACCCGCGUUCGAUUAGCCAGUUGGCGGGGUAACGGCCCACCAAAGCGACGAUCGAUAGCCGAACUGAGAGGAUGACCGGCCACAUUGGGACUGAGACACGGCCCAAACUCCUACGGGAGGCAGCAGUGGGGAAUAUUGCACAAUGGGGGAAACCCUGAUGCAGCGACGCCGCGUGAGUGAAGAAGUAUUUCGGUAUGUAAAGCUCUAUCAGCAGGGAAGAAAAUGACGGUACCUGAGUAAGAAGCCCCGGCUAACUACGU
rnacentral:rRNA from 1 species